AAAAAAAAAAGAAAAAAAGAAAACCCAGUUAAGAAAGCUAAGCUUAGUAGUUAAACAUAGCUUUCUGAAAAUCAUCAUGAUCAGUAAUCAGACUUUUAGACUAAAUGACAAGUGCAGGUCAUUUCAAUGAGGACCCCAGACACUUGAAAUUGUCUAGUGGGGGAAAAGAAGGCGGCAGCGUUUGGUAAUGCAUCAACUUCAAUCAUCAAAAACAUGCCUUUUAAACGUGAAUGAUGAACUUUGAAGAUCAAUUUUAUGAACAUUGGAUGCAAAAUGCAAAAGGACUGUAAUUGAUAAUACAUGCUUUAAAUAUUCUAAACAAAACAACUGUUUUUGGAUUAAAAUAAUUAUAAAAUACAUCUUGUGAAAUCUGUAAUUUUUAUAAGAAUUCAAGCUUUUCACAUUAAUGUAAAAAACAAAAAUUAAUAAUAAUAAUAAUAA
rnacentral:misc_RNA from 1 species